ACAACCUUUUUUGAAGGUGAUUGUCUAGCGGGCUACAGAUUGCUUUGCGAAAGCCCUGCAUUGCUCACUACCGGCACAGCCUUGGCAGAGAGGAAUGAGGAGGAUUUGGGGACUCUCUGGAAUGGAGGGGGGCACAGCCAGGGAAGGAGAUCAGCAUUCAGAAAUCAUAUAAAAUCUGGAAACUGAGCUGGCUGAUUGUGAUGAGUGGCACCCUACUCAUUGGCCUGGGAUGCUGCUAGUGAGGAGGAGAGCAACUGGCCCUAUCCAUCCCCAGAACAGCAUCCCUCCAAUGGCUGCUGCUGAUGUCUAUCCUAUGUUGUUGUUUUUUUAGAUUGUGAGCCCUUUGAGGACAUGGAACCAUUUCAUUAAUCUAUCCAUUCCUAUGCAUUCAUUCCUACCUACCUAU